GCGCAUAUGGUUUCAGGAGGAGCAAAGCUAGACUCAGAUCUCUCGGUCUGCUGUCCAGGCGACUAGCUACACACGGUAGCUGUCAAUCGGUCCAUCCAUGAGUGACCCUCUCCAACAUGAAAGAACAACGCCCAGACAAGAACAAGAUUAGGCCCCUCAGACGGACGAAACAUCCUCUCUGUUCCCUUCCAUCUGCUGUCGUGGUAUGUGAUUGGUGGUGGUGGUAAGUGAGGAGGAAACCAAGCCAUCGACCAUCAUCCCUUGACAGGGGCGAAGCUACGUUGGCGAGUUGGGGUCAGCCGACCCCGACGACUUCACAGUUGCACCUUAUACACGUCGAUUUUCUACCAGCCAAGACCCCGGCAAAAAAACAUCGUGACCCCGGCACCCCGCACUCGGCAGCCCAAAACGCUAUGGCCCAACGAGUAUUUACUCCUCUCCUUUUGUCAAUACUCAAUAGUCAUCAACGAAAAUACGAAACGCAUGCAGUCCAACCUGUACUAGCAUACCACGUCCACACCAGAAGCCCAUAUUUGUACGUUCUGCCUGUUGGACGUCAGGGGUGGAGGCUAGCAAGUAGCAAGUAGCAGCAACCCAAAAGGCCAAAAGUCUUUUGUCUCUUGAUCCAGGGUUCAGGCGGCUAGCAGAACAACAAUCUGACGAUUGCUCUCCCGGCGGCGUUAUUUGCUAGUUUGCUUCGUCAAAACUGUGCUGUGCGUCUCCCCGAUGCGGCGACGUCCCUACUGCCUACUCCCUUCCACUCCAUAGUUCCACUCUUCCCUUCCACUCUUCCAGGCUUCCUCGGUCAAUCGUUCUCUCAAGUGAUCAAGUCUCAACCUCGGAUUUUCUCGCGGUGUUCGCCUGUUCGGCAUCAAAUUCCAAGGCUGCUGGUCUGGAUAAGCUGAUGAGUUACAUAUAACCAGAGGCAAGCACCAAGCAGUUAGUCUCCACAUUUUUUGCUCGUGACUUUGGUUCAAGCAGAGAGGUUGUCGUUGCUCUUAUUCAAGGAAAUGUCAAGCAACCAAAGCAAGUUGGAACGAUUCUUGAAAAGGAAAAUACCCCCAGCCAAUGAUAAUGACAAUCUAGAAGGAUGCACUUCAAGAAGGGAUGACAAUACAUCAAAUAUCAAUCGUCCUAUUCAUUGUUCUUCACGAGUCCCACAACAUGAGGUAAAUUUUGAUGAACUUCCAUAUGAUCCAGCUGACAGAAGGAGAAUAUCAGAUUAUAUAGGCCCUGAUCUACAAGAUGACAUAAGGCGAAAGUAUUUGACUAGAGGUCCUUGUAGACCGCCACCUGGUUUUAAGUUUCCACAAACGAUCAUAGCAGGUCAUCCCCGUCGGUGUCAAGCUGAAUGGUUCACUACAUAUGGCUGGUUAGAGUAUAGUGAGAAGGUGGAUAAGUGUUUUUGUUUACAAUGUUACUUGUUCAGAGAUUUCAACAAAGGCCAAGGUGGGAAUGAUGCAUUUGUAAUAAAUGGUUGGGAUGGCUGGAACAAAUCUGAUAGGCUUCGAGAUCAUGUCGGCAACAAAUGCAAUAGUUUUCAUAACACGGCUGUGAAGAGAUGUGACAAUCUUUUGAAGCCUGGACAAUCUAUUGGAAAUGUUUUUAACAAACAGACCACUGUCAGUAAAGAGGAACAUCUGAUUAGAUUAAAGACUUCCAUCAAAGCUGUUCGUUACUUGUUGCAUCAACUUGCAGAUAUGAUUGCUUGAACCCAAUUAUUGACUUACAACUUGCAGAGUUUAAUGAUCGUUUUAAUGAGGUGAACUCUCAUUUGCUUACUCAAAUUGCUGCUUUCAACCCCAAGAAUUCUUUUGAGGCCUUCAAAGUUGAGAGUUUAAUAGAGUUGGCUAAGUCAUACCCUGAUGAUUUUGAUUCAACACAAUUGAAGGAUCUUAGUCGUGAGCUUAACUUUUUCAUUGAUAAUGUGCGAGCUGAUGAAAGAUUUUCUAGCUUGAUCUCUAAUUCUGCACUUGCAAGGCUGAUGGUGGAUACAACAAAACAUACGAGUUUUCCUUUGGUCUAUCGACUUCUCAAGCUAGUACUGGUUCUUCCAAUCGCCACUGCAUCGGUUGAGAGGUGCUUUUCAGCGAUGAAAAUUGUGAAGACAAUGUUAAGAAAUCGUAUUGGAGAUGGAUUUAUGAAUGAUUGUAUCAUAUGCUUCGUGGAACCAGGAUUUCUAGCCACAAUUCCAACUGAUGAUGUGAUAGUUCGCUUUCAUAAGAUGGAGGACCGUACCCGUAGAGGAAAAAUAUAGAAGUUCAACCCGUACUGGACUACUGGCUAGUAGCCUUGCAAGUAGAUGAGCAUCUGAUGAUUGGAUACCAUGCCGCUGGCGCUGGCGUUGGACGCUCCGGCCGGUGAGUUGUUUACUACGAGCUACUAGUACGACACAACGGCAGGUCCAGCUCGAAGAGCGUUGCGGAAUGCACUUGUAUUCCAGAGAGCGCAAAGAGUGAACUGUGUGACGACAGUCAGAGGCCAUGGAACCGAGAGUGGGAAUAAACUAAUAACGGUUGAUGAUGUUGUUGCAUUCCACUUCUUCUGAGAAAAAAAGGAAGCGGUGGUCGCGUGUGAUUACUGUACUGUACUCUACUUAUUAGUGGGCUACAGCUACUGCUAUAGCGCUUCGCUUGUCCCUGGGUCCUGUACUGUACGUGAGUAGGCUGCGACGCCAGUCCUACC